rnacentral:rRNA from 1 species
AUUGAACGCUGGCGGCAGGCCUAACACAUGCAAGUCGAACGGUAACAGGAAGAAGCUUGCUUCUUUGCUGACGAGUGGCGGACGGGUGAGUAAUGUCUGGGAAACUGCCUGAUGGAGGGGGAUAACUACUGGAAACGGUAGCUAAUACCGCAUAACGUCGCAAGCCCAAAGAGGGGGACCUUCGGGCCUCUUGCCAUCGGAUGUGCCCAGAUGGGAUUAGCUAGUAGGUGGGGUAACGGCUCACCUAGGCGACGAUCCCUAGCUGGUCUGAGAGGAUGACCAGCCACACUGGAACUGAGACACGGUCCAGACUCCUACGGGAGGCAGCAGUGGGGAAUAUUGCACAAUGGGCGCAAGCCUGAUGCAGCCACGCCGCGUGUAUGAAGAAGGCCUUCGGGUUGUAAAGUACUUUCAGCGGGGAGGAAGGGAGUAAAGUUAAUACCUUUGCUCAUUGACGUUACCCGCAGAAGAAGCACCGGCUAACUCCGUG